UACGGAGGGUGCGAGCGUUGUCCGGAAUCAUUGGGCGUAAAGGGCGCGUAGGUGGCCCGGUCAGUUCGUGGUGAAAGCGCGGGGCUCAACCCUGCGUCGGCCAUGAAUACUGCCGCGGCUGGAGCACUGUAGAGGCAGGCGGAAUUCCGGGUGUAGCGGUGGAAUGCGUAGAGAUCCGGAGGAAGACCGGUGGCGAAGGCGGCCUGCCGGGCAGUUACUGACACUGAGGCGCGACAGCGUGGGGAGCAAACAGG
rnacentral:rRNA from 1 species